ACGAAGCACGUGCGUGCACUUAGCCUGAUGGCUGGGCAAUAGGAUAAAUGCAGAGCAAUCGUUAUCGCUUUAUCGACCGUUAUCUUUACCAAAUGCGAAUCAUUCUCUCUUUCCCUCCCCCCAUACGUUCCCCUUCCUCUUUCACUUACACACAAUUUCGUUCAGAAAUUGAUUCGCACCGCGGCAAAAGGUCGAUUUAAUCCCGCCGCUCCUCCCUUGUGAAUAAUAACAAACGCCACUCGCGUUAUAAUUCGGAACGGAAUGCCGAUCGGUGGAUUGGGCAACGGUCGGUAAACGGAAUAACGGUGCAUCGUGAAGGGGGGAGGGCCCAACCCAGGGUAACCCAACCCUGCUAACGCAUCGUUCUUUGUCCCGGCCAACCUAGUUCUCCGGCUUCGAGGCAUGCAU